rnacentral:rRNA from 1 species
GAUGAACGCUGGCGGCGUGCCUAAUACAUGCAAGUCGAGCGAACAGACGAGGAGCUUGCUCCUCUGACGUUAGCGGCGGACGGGUGAGUAACACGUGGAUAACCUACCUAUAAGACUGGGAUAACUUCGGGAAACCGGAGCUAAUACCGGAUAAUAUAUUGAACCGCAUGGUUCAAUAGUGAAAGACGGUUUUGCUGUCACUUAUAGAUGGAUCCGCGCCGCAUUAGCUAGUUGGUAAGGUAACGGCUUACCAAGGCAACGAUGCGUAGCCGACCUGAGCGGGUCAUCGCACACACUGGCACUGAGCCACGGUCCCGACUCCUACGAGAGGCAGCAGUAGGGAAUCUUCCGCACUGGGCGAAUGCCUGACGGAGCAACGCCGCGUGAGUGAUGACGGUCUUCGGAUCGUAAAACUCUGUUAUUAGGGAAGAACAAAUGUGUAAGUAACUAUGCACGUCUUGACGGUACCUAAUCAGAAAGCCACGGCUAACUACGUG